AAAUUAAGAGUACAGCAGUCCUAAUAAGUCCUGUUACAAAAGCAAGAAAACCCACUGUAACUAACUUUGGGAAUCGAGGCUCCCCGAAAUAGUUCUGGAGUUGGAGUUUUCAUCGGUACUCUGGGAACAGAGCCUGCCACCCAACACCUCAGCCGGAGCAGAAAAAAAAAAAAAUAGAGAGACUGUGAACAUAAAUGGUCUGGCCACUGCAGAAAACAGUGUGGUGCUUUCUCAAGAAGUUCAACAUGGAAUUACCACGUGACCCAGCAAUUCCACUCCUAGGAGUAGUUCUUAUGUAUUGUACAGCAUUCUGCAAAUGAAGAAAACACAGAAGGGCCACCUGGCUGGCUCAGUUGGUGGACUGUCAGUGCAACGCCUGAUCUCAG